rnacentral:rRNA from 1 species
CACUCCUGCGGGAGGCAGCAGUGGGGAAUAUUGCACAAUGGGCGCAAGCCUGAUGCAGCCAUGCCGCGUGUGUGAAGAAGGCCUUCGGGUUGUAAAGCACUUUCAGCGGGGAGGAAGGCGAUACGGUUAAUAACCGUGUUGAUUGACGUUACCCGCAGAAGAAGCACCGGCUAACUCCGUGCCAGCAGCCGCGGUAAUACGGAGGGUGCAAGCGUUAAUCGGAAUUACUGGGCGUAAAGCGCACGCAGGCGGUCUGUCAAGUCGGAUGUGAAAUCCCCGGGCUCAACCUGGGAACUGCAUUCGAAACUGGCAGGCUUGAGUCUUGUAGAGGGGGGUAGAAUUCCAGGUGUAGCGGUGAAAUGCGUAGAGAUCUGGAGGAAUACCGGUGGCGAAGGCGGCCCCCUGGACAAAGACUGACGCUCAGGUGCGAAAGCGUGGGGAGCAAACAGGAUUAGAAACCCUAGUAGUCCCAUG